UUGAUUGUGGAAGGGGACUCCCUGACAGUCAUUAAAAAACUGAUUAAAAAUGAGGAAGAUAGAUCGAUUAUUAGGUCGAUUGUUCAUAGUAUUCAUAGAUUGCGCCAGGGCUUUGAUGAAGUCUCUUACAAGUUUGUGAACCGUCCGCUUAACGCUGCAGCCCAUAUUUUGGCAGUGGAAGGUCAGCAUCGGAAAGUGUGUGGGGCCUGGGUUAAUGGAAUACCGGAGACUGUGCGACUGGUGGUGGAGGAAGACUGGUUACGAUGGUGCCAAUGGACCUAAAUUCCAUAUGUUCGCUUUGAGUUAGAGAAGGUUCAUUGAAUCUCUAAUAUUGUUUGCAAAGCAUUGCUGGCUCUCGGUCUCUGAUCGAUAAUACCGAAGGAAAUGAAGCCCUGCUGUGGCUGAUAAUGGAGAUUGAAAAGUUUUGUUGCAGGCUCACGCGUUUUCUGCUUAUUGAUGUUUCGUUACUUUCUAGGCGUAGUUUUUAAUUUUCUUUUUAUUGGACAGCUGUGAUUUUCUUUUUUGUCUAUUUUGGUGGCCUUUUAGCUACUCCUUUUGAG
rnacentral:lncRNA from 1 species